rnacentral:rRNA from 1 species
CCUACGGGAGGCAGCAGUGGGGAAUAUUGGACAAUGGGGGGAACCCUGAUCCAGCCAUGCCGCGUGUGUGAAGAAGGCCCUCGGGUUGUAAAGCACUUUCAGUGAGGAAGAACGCCUGGUGGUUAAUACCCAUCAGGAAAGACAUCACUCACAGAAGAAGCACCGGCUAACUCCGUGCCAGCAGCCGCGGUAAUACGGAGGGUGCGAGCGUUAAUCGGAAUUACUGGGCGUAAAGCGCGCGUAGGUGGCUUGAUAAGCCGGUUGUGAAAGCCCCGGGCUCAACCUGGGAACGGCAUCCGGAACUGUCAAGCUAGAGUGCAGGAGAGGAAGGUAGAAUUCCCGGUGUACCGGUGAAAUGCGUAGAGAUCGGGAGGAAUACCAGUGGCGAAGGCGGCCUUCUGGACUGACACUGACACUGAGGUGCGAAAGCGUGGGUAGCAAACAGGAUUAGAUACCCGAGUAGUC